CCGUAGCCCAAGAGAUCGGGAUAACACCUGGAAACAGAUGCUAAUACCGGAUAACACAGAUGAUGCCUAUCAACUGUUUAAAAGAUGGUUCUGCUAUCACUCUUGGAUGGACCUGCGGUGCAUUAGCUAGUUGGUAGGGUAACGGCCUACCAAGGCGAUGAUGCAUAGCCGAGUUGAGAGACUGAUCGGCCACAUUGGGACUGAGACACGGCCCAAACUCCUACGGGAGGCAGCAGC
rnacentral:rRNA from 1 species